rnacentral:rRNA from 1 species
AGCCAGAGGAAGAUAUUUUUGGUUUAACCUGCCCAAUGAUUAUUAUAUGAAUGGCCGCGGUACCCUGACCGUGCUAAGGUAGCGUAAUCAGUUGGCUUUUAAAUGGAGUCAGGUAUGAAUGGGAUAACCGGGCUUAGCUGUCUCAAAGACAUUUAUUUGAAUUUACUGUUCAAGUGAAAAAGCUUGAAUUAAGAAAAGGGACGAGAAGACCCUUAGAAUUUUGUUUAAAGAAGAUUAUUUCUUCUAUGAUUUUGUUGGGGCGACAGAGAAAUAUUUAAAACUUUCUUUAAAUUAAUCAGUCGGAAUUUUCAGGUUAGGAUAAAUUACCUGAGGGAUAACAGCAUAAUUUUAUAAAUAAGUUUGUGACCUCGAUGUUGGACUAGGAAGCUAAUGGGUUAGCUGCUCAUUGUGCGGAUUCUGUUCGAAUUUUAACUCCUA